rnacentral:rRNA from 1 species
CUGCAGUCGAGCGAGGCGGCCCGCAAGGGUCAGUCGAGCGGCGAACGGGUGAGUAACGCGUGGAUUAUCUGCCCUGAGGUGGGGGAUAACCCGGGGAAACUCGGGCUAAUACCGCAUAUGACCGUGAGGUCAAAGGGGGGUCGCAAGAUCUCUCGCCAUAGGAGGAGUCCGCGUCCGAUUAGCUAGUUGGUAGGGUAAUGGCCUACCAAGGCGACGAUCGGUAGCCGGCCUGAGAGGGUGAUCGGCCACACUGGAACUGAGACACGGUCCAGACUCCUACGGGAGGCAGCAGUGGGGAAUUUUGCGCAAUGGGCUAACGCCUGACGCAGCAACGCCGCGUGGAGGAUGAAGGUCUUUGGAUUGUAAACUCCUGUCAGCAGGGAAAAAGCGAUAGGCGCUCAUACCGCCUAAAGUUGAUUGUACCUGCAGAGGAAGCCCCGGCUAACUCUGUGCCAGCAGCCGCGGUAAUACAGAGGGGGCAAGCGUUAUUCGGAAUUAUUGGGCGUAAAGGGCGCGUAGGCGGCCUGGCAAGUGGAAGGUGAAAUCCCUCGGCUUAACCGAGGAACUGCCUUCCAGACUGCUUGGCUUGAGACCGGGAGAGGUGAGUGGAAUUCCCAGUGUAGCGGUGAAAUGCGUAGAUAUUGGGAGGAACACCAGUGGCGAAGGCGGCUCACUGGACCGGUACUGACGCUGAGGCGCGAAAGCGUGGGGAGCAAACGGGAUUAGAUACCCCGGUAGUCCACGCCGUAAACGAUGAGUGCUUGGUGUAGCGGGUAUCGACCCCUGCUGUGCCGAAGUCAACACAUUAAGCACUCCGCCUGGGGAGUACGGUCGCAAGGCUGAAACUCAAA